AGCAGCCGCGGUAAUUCCAGCUCCAAUAGCGUAUAUUAAAGUUGUUGCAGUUAAAAAGCUCGUAGUUGAAUUUCGGGAUCAGCGCGUCGGUCGUGCCUCCGGUAUGCACUGGCGCCGCUGGUUUCUCCCUUCUGAGGAACCGUGAUGUCAUUAAUUUGGUGUUGCGGGAAAUCAGGACUGUUACUUUGAAAAAUUAGAGUGUUUAAAGCGGGCACGCGCUUGAAUACAUUAGCAUGGAAUAACGAAAUAGGACGUUCGAUCUUAUUUUGUUGGUUUCUAGGAUUGACGUAAUGAUUAAUAGGGAUAGUUGGGGGCAUUAGUAUUCAAUUGUCAGAGGUGAAAUUCUUGGAUUUAUUGAAGACUAACUACUGCGAAAGCAUUUGCCAAGGAUGUUUUCAUUAAUCAAGAACGAAAGUUAGGGGAUCGAAGACGAUCAGAUACCGUCGUAGU
rnacentral:rRNA from 2 species